rnacentral:rRNA from 1 species
UACAGAGGUCUCAAGCGUUGUUCGGAUUCAUUGGGCGUAAAGGGUGCGUAGGCGGCGCGGUAAGUCGGGUGUGAAAUCUUGGAGCUUAACUCCGAAACUGCAUUCGAUACUGCCGUGCUUGAGGACUGGAGAGGAGACUGGAAUUUACGGUGUAGCGGUGAAAUGCGUAGAUAUCGUAAGGAAGACCGGUGGCGAAGGCUAGUCUCUGGACAGUUACUGACACUGAGGCACGAAGGCCAGGGGAGCAAACGGG